rnacentral:rRNA from 1 species
UACGAAGGGGGCUAGCGUUGUUCGGAAUUACUGGGCGUAAAGCGCGCGCAGGCGGCCUUGCAAGUCAGUGGUGAAAUCCCAGAGCUUAACUCCGGAAUUGCCAUUGAAACUGCGAGGCUUCGAGUACGGGAGAGGUGAGUGGAAUUCCCAGUGUAGAGGUGAAAUUCGUAGAUAUUGGGAAGAACACCGGUGGCGAAGGCGGCUCACUGGCCAGUUUCUGACGCUGCAGCGCGAAAGCGUGGGGAUCAAACAGG